rnacentral:misc_RNA from 1 species
AAAUAUGGAAGCCAUUUUUUUCAAAGGUAAUCAUAAGUAUAGUUUCUGUUAACCAGCCCUCUGGAGCAUCACAUAACAGAAACUGUGCAAUUGUGUUAAACAAUAGAUUUAGUCAAUGUGUUAAAGGAGUAAUGAAUUUUUAGCAUAGAUGGUGUUGAUGACACUUCCUUCAGUAACUCUGUUUGAUUGAUACGUAUGUUCAUGUUGAGCAUUGUCCUGGUAAUUCACAAGCAGAACCACCGACCAAUGGAUUUCUGAUGAAGUGGUUGAGAAUUUGGGGCAAAAAGAAAUAUGGAAGCAAGAUUGCACUUUGCUUC